GUUCAUGCAAGACGACCAAAGACUUUGUAUGAUCUGGAGGCAUUUUGCUAAAACGAAUGGGCAGCUAUACCACCUGCAAGAAUUAGGGGCCUCAUAGACAACUAUUAGAAAAGACUGCACAGUGUCAUUGAUGCUACACAGUAUUAGGGAACUUAGGGUAUGCAGACUUUUGAACAGGGAUCAUUACAUUUUUAUUUUUUUUUUACCAUGUUUUGUUUUAUGAUUGUG